rnacentral:rRNA from 2 species
GGGUUGUGAGGUUAAGCGACUAAGCGUACACGGUGGAUGCCUAGGCAGUCAGAGGCGAUGAAGGGCGUGCUAAUCUGCGAUAAGCGUCGGUAAGCUGAUAUGAAGCGUUAUACCCGACGAUACCCGAAUGGGGAAACCCAGUGUGUUUCGACACACUAUCAUGACAUGAAUACAUAGUGUCAUGAGGCGAACCGGGGGAACUGAAACAUCUCAGUACCCCGAGGAAAAGAAAUCAACCGAGAUUCCCCCAGUAGCGGCGAGCGAACGGGGAGGAGCCCAGAACCUGAAUCAGUUUGUGUGUUAGUGGAAGCGUCUGGAAAGUCGCACAGUAAAGGGUGAUAGUCCCGUACACAAAAAUGCACAAGCUGUGAGUUCGAUGAGUAGGGCGGGACACGUGACAUCCUGUCUGAAUAUGGGGGGACCAUCCUCCAAGGCUAAAUACUCCUGACUGACCGAUAGUGAACCAGUACCGUGAGGGAAAGGCGAAAAGAACCCCGGCGAGGGGAGUGAAAUAGAACCUGAAACCGUGUACGUACAAGCAGUGGGAGCCUACUUGUUAGGUGACUGCGUACCUUUUGUAUAAUGGGUCAGCGACUUAUAUUCUGUAGCAAGGUUAACCGUAUAGGGGAGCCGCAGGGAAACCGAGUCUUAACUGGGCGUUAAGUUGCAGGGUAUAGACCCGAAACCCGGUGAUCUAGCCAUGGGCAGGUUGAAGGUUGGGUAACACUAACUGGAGGACCGAACCGACUAAUGUUGAAAAAUUAGCGGAUGACUUGUGGCUGGGGGUGAAAGGCCAAUCAAACCGGGAGAUAGCUGGUUCUCCCCGAAAGCUAUUUAGGUAGCGCCUCGUGAACUCAUCUUCGGGGGUAGAGCACUGUUUCGGCUAGGGGGUCAUCCCGACUUACCAACCCGAUGCAAACUACGAAUACCGAAGAAUGUUAUCACGGGAGACACACGGCGGGUGCUAACGUUCGUCGUGAAGAGGGAAACAACCCAGACCGCCAGCUAAGGUCCCAAAGUCAUGGUUAAGUGGGAAACGAUGUGGGAAGGCACAGACAGCCAGGAUGUUGGCUUAGAAGCAGCCAUCAUUUAAAGAAAGCGUAAUAGCUCACUGGUCGAGUCGGCCUGCGCGGAAGAUGUAACGGGGCUAAACCAUGCACCGAAGCUGCGGCAGCGACACUUAGGUGUUGUUGGGUAGGGGAGCGUUCUGUAAGCCGUCGAAGGUGGCCUGUGAGGGCUGCUGGAGGUAUCAGAAGUGCGAAUGCUGACAUAAGUAACGAUAAUGCGGGUGAAAAACCCGCACGCCGGAAGACCAAGGGUUCCUGUCCAACGUUAAUCGGGGCAGGGUGAGUCGACCCCUAAGGCGAGGCUGAAAAGCGUAGUCGAUGGGAAACAGGUUAAUAUUCCUGUACUCGGUGUUACUGCGAAGGGGGGACGGAGAAAGCUAGGUUAUCCGGGCGACGGUUGUCCCGGUUUAAGCGUGAAGGUGGAUGACUUUGGUAAAUCCGGGUCGUCAUUAACACUGAGGCGUGAUGACGAGUCACUACGGUGAUGAAGUAACUAAUGCUACGCUUCCAGGAAAAGCCUCUAAGCUCCAGGUAACAUCAAAUCGUACCCCAAACCGACACAGGUGGUCAGGUAGAGAAUACUCAGGCGCUUGAGAGAACUCGGGUGAAGGAACUAGGCAAAAUGGUGCCGUAACUUCGGGAGAAGGCACGCUGAUGGUAAGUGAAGUGACUUGCUCAUGGAGCUGAAAUCAGUCGAAGAUACCAGCUGGCUGCAACUGUUUAAUAAAAACACAGCACUGUGCAAACACGAAAGUGGACGUAUACGGUGUGACGCCUGCCCGGUGCCGGAAGGUUAAUUGAUGGGGUCAGCCGCAAGGCGAAGCUCUUGAUCGAAGCCCCGGUAAACGGCGGCCGUAACUAUAACGGUCCUAAGGUAGCGAAAUUCCUUGUCGGGUAAGUUCCGACCUGCACGAAUGGCGUAAUGAUGGCCAGGCUGUCUCCACCCGAGACUCAGUGAAAUUGAACUCGCUGUGAAGAUGCAGUGUACCCGCGGCAAGACGGAAAGACCCCGUGAACCUUUACUAUAGCUUGACACUGAACCUUGAGCCUUGAUGUGUAGGAUAGGUGGGAGGCUUUGAAGCGUGGACGCCAGUCUGCGUGGAGCCAACCUUGAAAUACCACCCUUUAAUGUUUGAUGUUCUAACGUGGACCCGUAAUCCGGGUUGCGGACAGUGUCUGGUGGGUAGUUUGACUGGGGCGGUCUCCUCCCAAAGCGUAACGGAGGAGCACGAAGGUUAGCUAAUCCUGGUCGGACAUCAGGAGGUUAGUGCAAAGGCAUAAGCUAGCUUGACUGCGAGAGUGACAGCUCGAGCAGGUGCGAAAGCAGGUCUUAGUGAUCCGGUGGUUCUGAAUGGAAGGGCCAUCGCUCAACGGAUAAAAGGUACUCCGGGGAUAACAGGCUGAUACCGCCCAAGAGUUCAUAUCGACGGCGGUGUUUGGCACCUCGAUGUCGGCUCAUCACAUCCUGGGGCUGAAGUAGGUCCCAAGGGUAUGGCUGUUCGCCAUUUAAAGUGGUACGCGAGCUGGGUUUAGAACGUCGUGAGACAGUUCGGUCCCUAUCUGCCGUGGGCGUUGGAAGAUUGAGAGGGGUUGCUCCUAGUACGAGAGGACCGGAGUGAACGCACCACUGGUGUACGGGUUGUGAUGCCAAUUGCAUUGCCCGGUAGCUAAGUGCGGAAGAGAUAACCGCUGAAAGCAUCUAAGCGGGAAACUUGCCUCGAGAUGAGUCUUCCCUGGGCACUAGAUGCCCCUGAAGGGCCGUUGAAGACGACGACGUAGAUAGGCUGGGUGUGUAAGCGUAGCGAUACGUUGAGCUAACCAGUACUAAUGACCCGAGAGGCUUAACCUUACAACACCGAAGGUGUUU